AGACAUGAAUAUUGAUUUUAAUUAAACACUAUAAGGUAAACGGGAGGAUGUAAACAGGUAAGUAUUUUUGGUUGCGGAUGCGAGAGAUACUACAUUCGGGUUCCGUGAGGAUUCCCACGGCUUCCAUUGCAGGGAACCCCUAAGGGCCAGGCACCGAGGUACGCAUCACACACGCCGGGUCUCUUCAUCCUACCGCAGGCCGGGGUUGGUGGGUUAAGGGGCGUUCACUCUGCAGGGCCGAAGCUCCGCGAAACAUUAAGAACCGGUCGCUCGCUCGGCAGCACCUUCGCGACCCUGUCUUCCACGCCUUAUCUUCCAACGGUGCCCGCGACGAGCUCCCACUGAAAAGAAUCUGACCAUCCAGCGGAGGCAUGUCUACGACUGCACCCAAGCCUUCUUCCAGCCUUUCAAACCCUGCAUUGGCUGUUGGCUUAUUGUUUUUGAGUUAUGGAGAGGGGCAUGCGGGUAGGCGGAGCUGGAGCGCAACGUGGAGGCCUCCAUUAAGGCUGCAUUUUCAAUGCGGCUUAGAAAUCUUUGAAGCUCUGGGCAGCAGAUAUGAGCGGUGUGUGGGAGAUGGUGGGCUUUGCAGAGGGAAGGAUGGGGGUCUAAGGCCAGGGCCUGAGAAUGAGGACAUUCGGGCUCUGGGCCGUUAACGGCCUGUCUGGGCUGCGACUACAGUUCCCAGAGUUCAUCGAGUCCGCGUCAACUUCCUUCGGGUGCACCGGCUGCCUCUGGACAGUAGGCGGAAUCGCGCUCGGAUCUCCGCGGUUUUUUCUGCUCCCUCGGGAGACUGCGGGGUGGGUGGGGGCAUCUGGGAUCCGGAAGCGGAGCGACCCGAGAGGGGCCGAGGCUGCAGGAGGAGAAAUGUCAGGAUUAAAAAUAGUUCUUCCCGAGAUGGUGGUAAGUAUGAACACAAAGAAGAGAUAAAAUGGGGGCAAGGGGUUGCCUUUGGUUGGGGCUUUACGGGUUUGAGGGUGGCUGGGGAGGGAUGGUUGGGUAACGUUGCCCAAAAGUGGGGGGAGGGAGGGGGAGCAUACGAACACAGGAGAGGGUCAGGAGGUGGUGGAGAGUAAAAUGCCGAGAAAAUCAUAUCAAAAUAUAAUAAAGAGGGUUACCUGUUUAGAAUGCUCGGAGGGGAGGGUCUGAUGCAGGACGGGCUCCUGGGGAAUGCCUAAAUGCUCAUUCUGCCAGAGUGGGUGACACCAUGGGGUAAAAUCCCAAGUAGUGAGAGUGGGGGUGGACCCACAUCCUGGGGAGGACUAAUGCCACCAAAUAGAGGGAACUGUAUCCCUCGAGAGAAAGGGUGGCUCCCAGGGCAUUGGGGCAGUUGAGCAAGUUAGGCCCUGAACACUAUUCCAUCUAUUUCUGGAAGUGGCUCCUCAGGAAACGAAGGUUGGCUGUC
rnacentral:lncRNA from 1 species